AUAUCUCUCUGUACGGGAAGGAUGAGAAGCUUCGACUAAGGUUCGAUUCGAGCGCAGCGAGAAAGCGUUGCCGCAGGCAACGACCCGAAGGGCGAAGCGCGCAGCGCUGAGUAAUCCUUCCCCCCC
rnacentral:sRNA from 1 species